rnacentral:rRNA from 1 species
UGUUUCGGCUAGGGGGCCAUCCCGGCUUACCAACCCGAUGCAAACUGCGAAUACCGGAGAAUGUUAUCACGGGAGACACACGGCGGGUGCUAACGUCCGUCGUGAAGAGGGAAACAACCCAGACCGCCAGCUAAGGUCCCAAAGUCAUGGUUAAGUGGGAAACGAUGUGGGAAGGCCCAGACAGCCAGGAUGUUGGCUUAGAAGCAGCCAUCAUUUAAAGAAAGCGUAAUAGCUCACUGGUCGAGUCGGCCUGCGCGGAAGAUGUAACGGGGCUAAACCAUGCACCGAAGCUGCGGCAGCGACACUGUGUGUUGUUGGGUAGGGGAGCGUUCUGUAAGCCUGUGAAGGUGGCCUGUGAGGGUUGCUGGAGGUAUCAGAAGUGCGAAUGCUGACAUAAGUAACGAUAAAGCGGGUGAAAAGCCCGCUCGCCGGAAGACCAAGGGUUCCUGUCCAACGUUAAUCGGGGCAGGGUGAGUCGACCCCUAAGGCGAGGCCGAAAGGCGUAGUCGAUGGGAAACGGGUUAAUAUUCCCGUACUUGGUGUUACUGCGAAGGGGGGACGGAGAAGGCUAUGUUGGCCGGGCGACGGUUGUCCCGGUUUAAGCGUGUAGGUGUGUGUUCCAGGUAAAUCCGGUUCACUUUAACACUGAGGCGUGACGACGAGGCACUACGGUGCUGAAGCAACAAAUGCCCUGCUUCCAGGAAAAGCCUCUAAGCAUCAGGUAACAUCAAAUCGUACCCCAAACCGACACAGGUGGUCAGGUAGAGAAUACCAAGGCGCUUGAGAGAACUCGGGUGAAGGAACUAGGCAAAAUGGUGCCGUAACUUCGGGAGAAGGCACGCUGACACGUAGGUGAAGUGAUUUACUCA